UACAAUACAUUCACAGAGUGAACACCCUUUGCUCUGAUGAUUGUUUCACACACUUGAUAAUUUCCUGUGCUGGUAUGACCAAAGCAGAUGAAGCCAUAUGGGACAAGCAAAAUUAUCCUUCAUUCAGCAAAGGAACUACGAGCUCUCAUUACAGAACUGGAUCUCUUUCCAGUGCCCUUCAGCUGUGCAUCUGGUAGUGUUUCCCACUGAGUCCCUUUUGAUGAUUCUCCAGCGCUGCUUUUUUUGUUUUGGGGAACUGUGCUAGAAAUCAUCAGAGGAGGAUCUGUGCACCUGCAACAAUCCUAUUGCUGAGAAGGGAUGGAUAUUCUUGAUGUUUCAUUUGUCUGCUGUCAGUUUCUUGAGCAGGCUAUCCUACUGCACCAGUAUUUUACCAGGAUUUUAAAUAUUUGCAUCUGGGUUUCUGAUUAUUUGGCAACUACUGUAGCAGCUUAAGGAGACCUUAAUAGAAACGAAGGACUUCUGACUGUGGGGUAGCUCGUGCAGCUGGGCACCAAAUGGUUUGGCUUCUGCUGCUACACUGCUCUGCAGAAGAAAUAA